rnacentral:rRNA from 1 species
AUGACGCAUCAUAGAUGUUUUGAGGCUUUGGAUCGUAGCUUACGUGAUAUUUGUUAUGGUUCUGGGUGGCGAUUUGAGACAUAUUUUACCAGUCAUCGAGGGUGGGACUCGCUCACAGGUUAUAAAUGCUGCUAUAACAAAUUCACCUCUAUGGCUAUUGGUGAUGGUACAGCGCCUUGUGUUACUAGACAAGGGGAGUGUGAGCCAAGUUGGGUAACAAUUCCUGAUGAUAUGUUGAUCCAUUCUGAGGAAAAUAGAAUAGGCGCUAUUGUUAAUGUUGUAUAUACAAACUUUGCUAAAAAUUGUUCUAAUCGAAAGUACUUGUGCCAAAGGGCUAUCUUAACAACAACAAAUGAUCUAGCUCAAGAAGUUAAUGACCAUGUGCUAGCCUUAAUGCCUUCUGCUGAGAGAGAGUACUUAAGCUAUGAUUCUAUAGGAAAUGCUGCUGACUCAAUGCAUAAUAUGGAUGUGUUUUAUCCUAUCGAGUACCUCAAUACAAUUAAAAUUAACAAUUUCCCACAGCACAAGUUGCUAUUGAAAAAAGGCGUGCCGAUUAUGCUCUUUAGAAAUUUGAGUCAGGCAACUGGUCUUUGUAAUGGUACUCGUCUUGUUGUAUCUAAACUUGGUGAGAAAGUCAUUGAGGCUAUUAUCAUGACUGGUUCUAAUAUUGGGGAUGUUGUGUACAUUCCAAGGAUUUGCCUCACUACCAAGGAUCCUAAAUGGCCAUUUACUUUACAUCGUCGCCAGUUUCCAGUCAGGGUUUGUUAUGCCAUGACUAUCAAUAAGAGCCAGGGACAGACUCUCUCAACUGUUGGAUUAUACCUGAAAAGCCCUGUUUUCACUCAUGGCCAGCUUUACGUGGCGGUUUCACGUGUGACUUCCAAGAAAAACUUGAAAAUACUUAUCGAGAACGAAGAUGGCACACUUGGAUCUCAGACUAGAAACAUAGUUUUCUCUGAGAUCUUUGAGUCUUUGGAAUACAACCCAUCAUCUACUUAUUACUUCCCAAUGCCUUCCCCUAGUCCCAAAUAA